CCGGCGCGGAUGGACACUCAGCUCUUGGUUCCCUGUCUCCCUGCAGGACGCCUGGGGCCAUGCCCGGGAUGAGUGGCUGCUCCUGCCCUGGGAGGAGGCGCCGGAGGCCCGCGGAUGCCCAGGCGGGCAGACACCGCCCCACCCCGACGGGGCCCCGGGACCGCACGCCUCCGCAGGCCAGCCGGCCGAGGCGCCCUGCGGCCUGGGUGGCGUCGAGGCUGGGCGAGGCCCCUCGGAGCUGGUGCCCGGCCUGGAGACUGCAGCCUGGCUCCUGGCAGAGCUGGUGGCUCCUGACCACGGACAGCCCGCUCUGGCUGAGCCCGCCCUGCAGGGACAGACGCUCCUCCUGCUCUGUGGCUGCCCCUCUGGGCAGAGCGCCGACGCCUCCCCUCUCCCCACGGAGCUGGCCUGGGUCUCCGCGCAGAGGCCAGUGGCUGCCGCGGCCCAGGAGUCCCUCCUGCUGCGGACGGCCGUGCUCCCGCCCUGGGGGCCCGACGGGGGCCCCGCCGCCCUGCUGCUCCAGGCCGUGUUCACAGAGUCCCAGACCCAGCAGGGGCUGGACGCGGGGCCCCUGCCUGCGCCCCGAGCUGUGGGACAGUCUUGCUG